rnacentral:rRNA from 1 species
AGAGUUUGAUCCUGGCUCAGAUGAACGCUAGCGGCAGGCUUAACACAUGCAAGUCGAGGGGUAACAUUGUAGCUUGCUACAGAUGACGACCCGGCGCACGGGUGCGUAACGCGUAUACAAUCUACCUUAUACUGAGGGAUAGGCCAAAGAAAUUUGGAUUAAUACCUCAUAGUAUUUUUCUAACACAUGUUAGAAUUCUUAAAGCUCCGGCGGUAUAAGAUGAGUAUGCGUGAUAUUAGCUAGUUGGUGAGGUAACUGCUCACCAAGGCUACGAUAUCUAGGGGGUCUGAGAGGACUAUCCCCCACACUGGUACGGAGACACGGACCAGACUCCUACGGGAGGCAGCAGUGAGGAAUAUUGGGCAAUGGAGGCAACUCUGACCCAGCCAUGCCGCGUGAAGGAAGAAGGUUCUAUGGAUUGUAAACUUCUUUUAUUUGGGAAGAAACCUCUCUACGUGUAGAGAGCUGACGGUACCAAACGAAUAAGGACCGGCUAACUCCGUGCCAGCAGCCGCGGUAAUACGGAGGGUCCAAGCGUUAUCCGGAAUCAUUGGGUUUAAAGGGUGCGCAGGCGGUUUAUUAAGUCAGUGGUGAAAUCUCGAGGCUCAACCUCGAAACUGCCAUUGAUACUGAUAAACUUGAGUUCAGUUGGAGUAGGCGGAAUGUGUAGUGUAGCGGUGAAAUGCUUAGAUAUUACACAGAACACCGAUAGCGAAGGCAGCUUACUAAACUGAUACUGACGCUGAGGCACGAAAGCGUGGGGAGCGAACAGGAUUAGAUACCCUGGUAGUCCACGCCGUAAACUAUGAUUACUCGAUAUUGGCGAUAUACAGUCAGUGUCUAAGCGAAAGUGAUAAGUAAUCCACCUGGGGAGUACGGUCGCAAGAUUGAAACUCAAAGGAAUUGACGGGGGCCCGCACAAGCGGU